CCUACGGGGCGCUGCAGUGGGGAAUAUUGGACAAUGGGCGAAAGCCUGAUCCAGCCAUGCCGCGUGUGUGAAGAAGGCCUUCGGGUUGUAAAGCGCUCUCAGUGGGGAAGAAAGCCUUGGGGCUAAUACCCUCGAGGAAGGACAUCACCCACAGAAGAAGCACCGGCUAACUCCGUGCCAGCAGCCGCGGUAAUACGGAGGGUGCGAGCGUUAAUCGGAAUUACUGGGCGUAAAGCGCGCGUAGGCGGUCUGAUAAGCCGGUUGUGAAAGCCCCGGGCUCAACCUGGGAACGGCAUCCGGAACUGUCAGGCUAGAGUGCAGGAGAGGAAGAUAGAAUUCCCGGUGUAGCGGUGAAAUGCGUAGAGAUCGGGAGGAAUACCAGUGGCGAAGGCGGCCUUCUGGACUGACACUGACGCUGAGGUGCGAAAGCGUGGGUAGCAAACAGGAUUAGAUACCCUGGUAGUC
rnacentral:rRNA from 1 species